UCAGUUAGGUAGAGCAUCUCGUUUACACGAGCGCCAAUG
rnacentral:tRNA from 1 species